UCCUCAAAACACCCCAAAUUUACACAGGUUUGUAGGUUAAUUGACUUUGGUAAAAUUGGAAAUUGUCCCCAGUGUGCAGGAUAGUGUGAGUCUGUGGGGAACACUGGUUGGCACAGACUUGGUGCGCAGAAUGGCCUGUUUCUGCUCUGACCCACUAAAGUCUAAAGUCUGAGGAUAUCUCUGAUAUUGAGUGAGAAAUCUCAUUUAUACAAACCUACCAAUAUAGCAAUUCAUUCUAGGGCACAUUACAGGUGCAUGGACACACAACGUUGCUAACACAGAGCCUGAAAGCUGUUAGGGCAGAUGAUUAAAACAGUGUUCAAAGAGGCAGGCUUUAAGGAGAGUCUCAGAGAAGGAAAUGACUUGUUUAGAGAGGAAAUUCCAGAGCUUAGGGCAGAGAGGUGUGAUUAAAUGUACUCCACUGUAGUGUGUGAUGUUGAACGUUGGCUGUUAAAUUUAAAACCCAAACACUGCAGCUUUGACAGAUUUCCCACACUUGCAAUGUUAUUUUUGCAGGCGGAAUCACACUGUUCUUGUGUAGGGAGUAGGCAGGUGCACCAGAGCACAAUGCACAGGCCUGAUCACCACAAGAUUUCCUUUGAACAUUGGCAAGUUUCAAGAGCUGGAAUUACUGCUUUAAGAUCAUAGUUAGUUAGCCCUUGCUGUUACAUAAUGCCAUUACUUUCCGACGCUUCAACUGAGGGAUCCAUGUUUAGCAGCAUCUGAGUGCAAGAUGGUUGUAGAACACUGUGUGAUGUUAUGCAGAAUUUGCAGACAACGUUACGCCCUUUCUUUUCUGCUUCUUGACUGUUAACCAGCUUGUACUACAGCUGUGAAAAUAAACGAACAGCAUGAAACCUAAUGGGAUAACUGGCAGCUGAACAUAAGUAGAUCAGCCGUUAAUGAGGAGUCCUGUAUAUUUCCAUAAGCCGAGUUGCCUAUUCCGUUUUCUCCAAGGAUACUGCCUGAUCCGCUGACUUACUCCAGCAGUUUGUGUCCAUCUUUGGUAUAAACCAGCAUCUGCAGUUCCUUCCUGCACAUCUUGGCUGCUCUACUGCAAAAUCUCCUCAAGGAAUGAUGGCGUGCGGAAUUUCUUUUUCUUUUUUGAUGGAGAUUUCGAAGGAGAUCCCUCAGGUGAAAGGGCAUCACUAGCAUUCAGAUCCACCUUUUCAGUUGACUUGAUGGUGAUCUCCACGCUCUCCACAGUGCCAGUUGUCAACUGGCUGAUGCGGUUUGUCACGUCUUCUGCAAAAGCUUGUCCGUCUUCCUUCCCUCCAUUCACUACCACCGCUGGUGGAGUGUUAUCUAAUGCACAAUCAUCAUUAAUGAAAAACUAUACAAUCUCGAUUUUCGUUUAAAAUUGCCAGUAACUCUUCAACAACUGUGGGAUGACCUUAUUACAACUGUUCCGGGCAUACUUCAUAGUUUUGGCCUCAUUGUUUGAAGGAUAUACU